GAUGAACGCUGGCGGCGUGCCUAAUACAUGCAAGUCGAGCGAACAGACGAGGAUCUUGCUCCUCUGACGUUAGCGGCGGACGGGUGAGUAACACGUGGAUAACCUACCUAUAAGACUGGGAUAACUUCGGGAAACCGGAGCUAAUACCGGAUAAUAUAUUGAACCGCAUGGUUCAAUAGUGAAAGACGGUUUUGCUGUCACUUAUAGAUGGAUCCGCGCCGCAUUAGCUAGUUGGUAAGGUAACGGCUUACCAAGGCAACGAUGCGUAGCCGACCUGAGAGGGUGAUCGGCCACACUGGAACUGAGACACGGUCCAGACUCCUACGGGAGGCAGCAGUAGGGAAUCUUCCGCAAUGGGCGAAAGCAUGACGGAGCAAGGCCGCGUGAGUGAUGAAGGUCUUCGGAUCGUAAAACUCUGUUAUUAGGGAAGAACAAAUGUGUAAGUAACUAUGCACGUCUUGACGGUACCUAAUCAGAAAGCCACGGCUAACUACGUG
rnacentral:rRNA from 1 species